CUUGGUACCAAACAACAAACUCUUCUUCAGUGAGUUUAAAAAGUGACAGAUCCAAGGAUGAACCUGUAAGCUUUGACACUGAAGAUAAACGUGUUUCGAAUGACAACCAAUCUGAAACAUCUGGACCAGCUGACACAGUUACAGGAGAUAAUCCCAAAGGAUCAUUUUCAAUAAUAGAAGAUGCCAAGGAAGACAAAGAAAUUCCAAAGAAGAUGGGUCGACAUAAAAAAGACAUAAAACUUUCUGAGACAGUGAUGUUUGAAAUUGGGAAAAAGAACCUAAUCACACCUAAAAAUUUAUUUACCAACAAUAAAACUCAGACUUCUAAUAUGCCCAAUCAUGUGCGAACUGUUCUGAUGGAAGGAGUCCCUGGUGUUGGUAAAACUUUCCAAAAAAAAAUGUUCAUGAAGGACUGGGAAGAAGGAAACUCCAACAAACACAUAAAGGCUUUAGUGACCUUUGAUUUCACUGAGUUGAAUACAAAGAUAGAUGAAGAAAAAAACAUGGAAUCUCUGCUGAAUGAUUUCUUCAAGACAAAAAAAGUUAAUGUUUUCAAAGACGACAAGAAAAAGAUAUGUUUCAUUCUUGAUGGUCUGGAAAAAUGCAAACUUCCUCUUGACUUUGUAAACAACAAAGAAGUAAAAAACUUGAAGGAAGAAACAUCAAUGGAUGAGCUGCUAACGAAUCUGAUCAAAGGAAAUCUGCUUCCUGAAGCUCAUAUUUGGAUAAUUUCUCAACCAAAAGGAGUUGAUAAGAUUCCUCCUGAAUAUAUCAACAAAACUGUUUU